UACGUAGGGUGCAAGCGUUGUCCGGAAUUAAUGGGCGUAAAGAGCUCGUAGGCGGUUUGUCGCGUCUGCUGUGAAAACCCAAGGCUCAACCUCGGGCCUGCAGUGGGUACGGGCAGACUAGAGUGCGGUAGGGGAGAUUGGAAUUCCUGGUGUAGCGGUGAAAUGCGCAGAUAUCAGGAGGAACACCGGUGGCGAAAGCGCUCAUCUGGCCCAAUACUGACGCUGAAGCACGAAAGCUAGGGGAGCAAACGGG
rnacentral:rRNA from 1 species